rnacentral:rRNA from 1 species
AGCCUGAUCAGCGAUGCCGCGUGAGUGAUGAAGGCCUUAGGGUUGUAAACCUCUUUCCGCGGGGAAGAUGAUGACGGUACCCGCAGAAAAAGCCCCGGCUAACUCCGUGCCAACAACCGCGGUAAUACCGAGGGGGCUAGCGUUGUUCGGAAUCACUGGGCGUAAAGCGCGCGUAGGCGGUCUGCGCAGUCAGGGGUGAAAGCCCCGGGCUCAACCUGGGAGCUGCGCUUGAUACUGGCGGGCUAGAGUACGGGAGAGGGUAGUGGAAUUCCCAGUGUAGAGGUGAAAUUCGUAUAUAUUGGGAAGAACACCAGUGGCGAAAGCGGCUAUCUGGACCGGUACUGACGCUGAAGUGCCAAAGCGUGGGGAGCAAACAAGAUUAAAUACCCUGGGAGUCCACCCCGUAAAAUAUGAGUGCUAGAUGUCGGGGGGCCUAGCCCUUCGGUGUCGCGGCUAACGCAUUAAGCACUCCGCCUGGGGAGAACGGCCGCAAGGUUAAAACUC